AAAGCUCCGACGGUCAGGGAUGGGCUCGCGGCCUAUCAGCUUGUUGGUGGGGUAACGGCCCACCAAGGCGACGACGGGUAGCCGGCCUGAGAGGGCGACCGGCCACACUGGGAAUGAGAUACGGCCCAGACUCCUACGGGAGGCAGCAGUGGGGAAUAUUGCGCAAUGGGCGAGAGCCUGACGCAGCAACGCCGCGUGCGGGAUGACGGCCUUCGGGUUGUAAACCGCUUUCAGCAGGGACGAAGGGUUUCUGACGGUACCUGCAGAAGAAGCACCGGCUAACUACGUGCCAGCAGCCGCGGUGAUACGUAGGGUGCGAGCGUUGUCCGGAAUUAUUGGGCGUAAAGAGCUUGUAGGCGGUCCGUUGCGUCGGAAGUGAAAACUCGGGGCUUAACCCCGAGCCUGCUUUCGAUACGGGCGGACUUGAGGGAUGUAGGGGAGAACGGAAUUCCUGGUGGAGCGGUGGAAUGCGCAGAUAUCAGGAGGAACACCAGUGGCGAAGGCGGUUCUCUGGACAUUUCCUGACGCUGAGAAGCGAAAGCGUGGGGAGCAAACAGGCUUAGAUACCCUGGUAGUCCACGCCGUAAACGGUGGGCACUAGGUGUGGGACCCAUUCCACGGGUUCCGUGCCGUAGCUAACGCAUUAAGUGCCCCGCCUGGGGAGUACGGCCGCAAGGCUAAAACUCAAAGGAAUUGACGGGGGCCCGCACAAGCGGCGGAGCAUGCGGAUUAAUUCGAUGCAACGCGAAGAACCUUACCUGGGUUUGACAUAUGCCGGAAACAUCUGGAGACAGGUGCCCCGCAAGGUCGGUAUACAGGUGGUGCAUGGCUGUCGUCAGCUCGUGUCGUGAGAUGUUGGGUUAAGUCCCGCAACGAGCGCAACCCUCGUUCUAUGUUGCCAGCGGUUCGGCCGGGAACUCAUAGAAGACUGCCGGGGUCAACUCGGAGGAAGGUGGGGAUGACGUCAAGUCAUCAUGCCCCUUAUGUCCAGGGCUUCACGCAUGCUACAAUGGCUGGUACAAAGGGCUGCAAUAUCGCAAGAUGGAGCGAAUCCCAUAAAGCCAGUCUCAGUUCGGAUUGGGGUCUGCAACUCGACCCCAUGAAGUCGGAGUCGCUAGUAAUCGCAGAUCAGCAACGCUGCGGUGAAUACGUUCCCGGGCCUUGUACACACCGCCCGUCAAG
rnacentral:rRNA from 1 species